rnacentral:lncRNA from 1 species
UUUAAGUUCUGGUGCCAAGAACCAAUUAUCUACAGUGAACAAAAACCAAAUGAUCUGAAGCAGAAUGAAUCACACAGGGGGAUUUGAAAUCUCAGCAGGCAAAUUGGCUUAGGGAAGGCUGUGUGUUUUAUCUUCCCAUGAAGCCAGCAACUUCUUCCUCAAGUUCAGGGGAGGCCAGUCGCAGGG